UACGUAGGGGGCAAGCGUUGUCCGGAAUUAUUGGGCGUAAAGAGCGCGUAGGCGGUCCGAUAAGUCGGCUGUGAAAGUCAAGGGCUCAACCUUCAGAGGUCGACCGAAACCCCCUGGCUAGAGUCCGGGAGAGGAGAGUGGAAUUCCUGGUGUAGCGGUGGAAUGCGCAGAUAUCAGGAGGAACACCGGUGGCGAAGGCGGGUCUCUGGGCAGUAACUGACGCUGAGGAGCGAAAGCGUGGGGAGCGAACAGG
rnacentral:rRNA from 1 species